rnacentral:rRNA from 1 species
AUGGCCGCGGUAUUUUAACCGUGCGAAGGUAGCGUAAUCAUUUGUCUCCUAACUACAGACCUGUAUGAAAGACAAAACGAGGGCUCAACUGUCUCCUUCUCUUAGUCAAUGAAAUUGAUCUCCCCGUGCAGAAGCGGGGAUCCAACCAUUAGACGAGAAGACCCUAUGAAGCUUUAGACAUCCGGACAUAUCGUGUCAAUUAUCCUCAAUAACAGGUUAUAAACUUAACGACUUAUUUGUCCAUUGUCUUAGGUUGGGGCGACCAUGGGGAAAUAAAUAACCCCCACGUGGAAAAGUAGAAUAGUCUUAUCCUACCACAGCCAAGAGCUACAGCUCUAAGAACCAGAACUUUUGACUAAAAAUGAUCCAGCAAUGCUGAUUAACGAGCCAAGUUACUCUAGGGAUAACAGCGCAAUCCCCUUCUUAGAGACCGCAUCUUCAAGGGGGUUUACGACCUCGAUGUUGGAUCAGGGUAUCCUAAUGGCGCAACCGCCGUUGAGG